rnacentral:rRNA from 1 species
UACGUAGGGUGCGAGCGUUGUCCGGAAUUAUUGGGCGUAAAGAGCUCGUAGGUGGCCAACUAAGUCAGACGUGAAAUCCCUCGGCUUAACCGGGGAACUGCGUCUGAUACUGGAUGGCUUGAGUUCGGGAGAGGGAUGCGGAAUUCCAGGUGUAGCGGUGAAAUGCGUAGAUAUCUGGAGGAACACCGGUGGCGAAGGCGGCAUCCUGGACCGACACUGACGCUGAGGAGCGAAAGCCAGGGGAGCAAACGGG